UUUAUGGAGAGUUUGAUCCUGGCUCAGGAUGAACGCUGGCGGCGUGCCUAAUACAUGCAAGUCGAGCGAACAGAUAAGGAGCUUGCUCCUUUGACGUUAGCGGCGGACGGGUGAGUAACACGUGGGUAACCUACCUAUAAGACUGG
rnacentral:rRNA from 1 species